CCUACGGGAGGCAGCAGUGGGGAAUAUUGGGCAAUGGAGGAAACUCUGACCCAGCGACGCCGCGUGAGGGAUGAAGGCCUUCGGGUUGUAAACCUCUUUUAGCAGGGAAGAAGCGAAAGUGACGGUACCCACAGAAGAAGCCCCGGCUAACUCCGUGCCAGCAGCCGCGGUAAU
rnacentral:rRNA from 1 species